UACGUAGGGUGCAAGCGUUGUCCGGAAUUAUUGGGCGUAAAGAGCUCGUAGGCGGUCUGUCACGUCGGCUGUGAAAACCCGAGGCUCAACCUCGGGCCUGCAGUCGAUACGGGCAGACUAGAGUUCGGUAGGGGAGACUGGAAUUCCUGGUGUAGCGGUGAAAUGCGCAGAUAUCGGGAGGAACACCGGUGGCGAAGGCGGGUCUCUGGGCCGAAACUGACGCUGAGGAGCGAAAGCGUGGGGAGCGAACAGG
rnacentral:rRNA from 1 species